rnacentral:miRNA from 1 species
GCUUGGAUAAGGUACUCUAUUU